GAUGAACGCUAGCGGCAGGCCUAAUACAUGCAAGUCGUACGGCAACACAGUUGCGAGCAAUCGCAACCGGCGGCGAGUGGCGCACGGGUGAGUAACGCGUAUGUAACCUACCCUUCUCCGGGACAUAACUCCGCGAAAGCGGUGCUAAUAUCCCAUACCAACUCAUCAAGACAUCUUCUUGAGUUGAAAGCAGCAAUGCGGUGAAGGAUGGGCAUGCGUCCCAUUAGCUGGUUGGUGAGGUAAUGGCCCACCAAGGCUACGAUGGGUAGGGGUUCUGAGAGGAAAGCCCCCCACACUGGUACUGAGACACGGACCAGACUCCUACGGGAGGCAGCAGUAAGGAAUAUUGGGCAAUGGUCGAAAGACUGACCCAGCCAUGCCGCGUGCAGGAUGAAGGCCCUAUGGGUUGUAAACUGCUUUUAGCCGGGAAUAAACACCCGUUUUAUAACGGGCCCGAAGGUACCGGCUGAAUAAGCAUCGGCUAACUCCGUGCCAGCAGCCG
rnacentral:rRNA from 1 species